GACGAACGCUGGCGGCGUGCCUAAUACAUGCAAGUAGAACGCAGUUGCGAACGGGUGAGUAACGCGUAGGUAACUGCCUCAUAGCGGGGGAUAACUAUUGGAAACGAUAGCUAAUACCGCAUACUGUGAGAUGGACCUGCGUUGUAUUAGCUAGUUGGUGAGGUAAAGGCUCACCAAGGCGACGAUACAUAGCCGACCUGAGAGGGUGGUCGGCCACACUGGGACUGAGACGCGGCCCAGACUCCUAAGGAGGUCGGCAGUCGGGAAUCUCCGGCGAUUGAAGGAAGUCUGAACUAGCAACGCCGCGUGGGUGAAGAAGAUUUUCGAUUUCUAAAGCUCUGUUGUUAGAGAAGCGGUAACUACCCAGAGAGGGACUGCUAACUACGUGCCAGCAGCCGCGGUAAUAC
rnacentral:rRNA from 1 species